rnacentral:rRNA from 1 species
GCAUAACGCGAAGAACCUUACCCACCUUUGACAUGGCAGGAAGGCUUCAGAGAUGAGGCUGUGCUCGAAAGAGAACCUGUACACAGGUGCUGCAUGGCUGUCGUCAGCUCGUGUCGUGAGAUGUUGGGUUAAGUCCCGCAACGAGCGCAACCCUUGCCAUUAGUUGCUACGAAAGGGCACUCUAAUGGGACUGCCGGUGACAAACCGGAGGAAGGUGGGGAUGACGUCAAGUCCUCAUGGCCCUUAUAGGUGGGGCUACACACGUCAUACAAUGGCUGGUACAAAGGGUUGCCAACCCGCGAGGGGGAGCUAAUCCCAUAAAGCCAGUCGUAGUCCGGAUCGCAGUCUGCAACUCGACUGCGUGAAGUCGGAAUCGCUAGUAAUCGUGGAUCAGGAUGUCACGGUGAAUACGUUCCCGGGUCUUGUACACACCG